UACAGAGGAGCCAAGCGUUGUCCGGAAUUAUUGGGCGUAAGGGCUCGUUAGGCGGUUUGGUCGCGUCGGGAGUGAAAACCUUGGGCUUAACCGCGGGCCCUGCAGCCGAUACGGGCGGCUAGAGUUCGGUAGGGGAGACUGGAAUUCCUGGUGUAGCGGUGAAAUGCGCAGAUAUCAGGAAGAACACCCGUGGCGAAAGCGGCUCUCUGGAACGGUACUGACGCUGAGACGCGAAAGCGUGGGGAGCGAACGG
rnacentral:rRNA from 1 species